GGGGGUGAUCGGUUUCGACAUCGUUGGGGAAACUGCGUGAAGCGGGUCGAGGACGCGGGGUUAUCUCGUAAACGCCCCUCGCAAAACAUAAGUGCCAAUAACAAGCGCACUGACUUCGCCCUCGCUGCCUAAGUAGCGAGCCCGAGUCCGUCAGCCUAGGUUUGCGUUCGACCUAGAUCCUGGCGUCAUUUUGAACGCUUGCUGCGAAACUGUGUUGCAGGGUUUCGUGGGACUCUCACUGUGACUGGGUUCGUCGACCAAGGUGUUUGCCCCAAUGGUCGGAACCGAGUAAAGCGCUUGGCAGACUGCACCCGGAGAAGCCGCAGACUCGUCGCGAUGGACGAGGGUUCAAUUCCCUCCACCUCCACCA
rnacentral:tmRNA from 1 species